rnacentral:rRNA from 1 species
UGGGGAAUAUUGCACAAUGGGCGCAAGCCUGAUGCAGCAACGCCGCGUGAGGGACGACGGCCUUCGGGUUGUAAACCUCUUUUGGCAGGGAAGAAGCGAAAGUGACGGUACCUGCAGAAAAAGCACCGGCUAACUACGUGCCAGCAGCCGCGGUGAUACGUAGGGUGCAAGCGUUGUCCGGAAUUAUUGGGUUUAAAGGGUGCGUAGGCGGACUAAUAAGUCAGUGGUGAAAGCCUGCGGCUUAACUGCAGAAUUGCCAUUGAUACUGUUAGUCUUGAGUACGGUUGAGGUAGGCGGAAUGUGUCAUGUAGCGGUGAAAUGCUUAGAUAUGACACAGAACACCGAUUGCGAAGGCAGCUUGCUAAGCUGUAACUGACGCUGAGGCACGAAAGCGUGGGGAGCAAACA